rnacentral:tRNA from 1 species
AUUAAGUUUAGUGCGCUGCGCUACUUCAAUGCCUCUGGCGCCUCGUUAAACGCCAGCAUUGGUGAAGACUGGGAUCAUACCCAGAACCUAAUUCCA